AACUUUAUAAUUUAAAUAAAAUAUUAAACUGCAAAUUUAAAAAUGCUAUAAGCUAAAGUUU
rnacentral:tRNA from 1 species